rnacentral:rRNA from 1 species
GUCCACGCCCUAAACGGUGGGUACUAGGUGUAGGGCUCGUAAGGGUUCUGUGCCGUAGGGAAACCAUUAAGUACCCCGCCUGGGGAGUACGGCCGCAAGGUUGAAACUCAAAGGAAUUGACGGGGGCCGCACAAGCGGUGGAGCAUGUGGUUUAAUUCGACGCAACGCGAAGAACCUUACCUGGGCUUGACAUGGUAGUGGUAGGAAUAUGAAAGUUGACCGACCUGUAGCAAUACAGGAGCUAUCACAGGUGCUGCAUGGCUGUCGU